UGUGCAAGUGACGAUAAAUCAGACAGGGACAUCAGAACUCUGCUUGAUUAUGAUGAGUUGUCUUUGGGAAUCUCUCUGAUGCACA